AACGAACGCUGGCGGCAGGCUUAACACAUGCAAGUCGAGCGCCCCGCAAGGGGAGCGGCAGACGGGUGAGUAACACGUGGGAAUCUACCCAUCCCUACGGAACAACUCCGGGAAACUGGAGCUAAUACCGUAUACGCCCUUUUGGGGAAGGAUUUAUCGGGGAUGGAUGAGCCCGCGUGGGAUUAGCUAGUUGGUGGGGUAAAGGCCUACUAAGGCGACGAUCCGUAGCUGGUCUGAGAGGAUGAUCAGCCACACUGGGACUGAGACACGGCCCAGACUCCUACGGGAGGCAGCAGUGGGGAAUAUUGGACAAUGGGCGCAAGCCUGAUCCAGCCAUGCCGCGUGAGUGAUGAAGGCCUUAGGGUUGUAAAGCUCUUUCGCCAGGGACGAUAAUGACGGUACCUGGAUAAGAAGCCCCGGCUAACUUCGUGCCAGCCGCCGCAGUAACAC
rnacentral:rRNA from 1 species